GUGAUUGUAGUCUGGUCAGCUGCCUUCACUAUAAUUUAAGUAACCAGGAUGUUCCACUUCGUGGAACCCUCAUAUGUCGAAAUCGACGGAGUUCAUUAUUAUUACAUUCAUUAAUGGCAAUAUCAAGAUCAAACAUAAAGCUAGCCAUGUCGUAUGUGCAUGUCUGUAACCAUUACUUUUAAAUUGAUACGUAUUUGCUGUAACUAGCAACAACGGGUUCAGUUAGGAAAAAAGAGUGAAAAAAUAUGAAUGCGUACAUGAAAUCAAUGAAAAAGGAAAGAAAAUAAAGGCUAUCAAGUUUAAUCUAAGGAAAAUUUUUUCCGCGAACAAUUCCCCCAUGUAGAGUAAUUGACAUGUUAUGCAUCAUGGUUACUUCUUAAAAAUUAAGUCGUCAAAACUUUGACAGUAGCUAAGAAACACAAAAUCAAAGUUUCGAUUAAUGAGAGUAAUUGGGGGUGUAUUAAAAUUAUAUCAUUACACUUAUCACCAGAAAAAAAUGAAUGUUGUAUAAAAUCAAGGAGUGUUAUACAUUGAGUUAGAAUCGUAAGUGUAAAUACAAUGGCCAACAAAUCAAAACAACUAAGUCAUAAAUUAUGUCAAUCAGUGUGAGUUCAAGUCUAUAAGUGGUAUAAAUCGAGAGUAACGACAUAAGUCAUUAUAGGAAGUUGUGUCUGACGCGGGGUUAAGCUUGGUCAUUCAAGAGAAUUCGAGUAAACGACACCAGUUAAAAUAAAGAUUGCUAUAUAUUAUUUGUAUAUCGGGUGCCAAAAUGUGUUUAAAAGACAAUAUAUACGUGCAGUUCAGAUGCUAAUGUGUAAGAUGUCUUUGAAUUCCAAAAAUAGAUAAAAUAUAUUUGGAAAUUAUGUUAUUGAGUAGACAAGAAAAACUUUACAAUAUUACGUCUAUACAUAUCAAGCUAAGACAACAGCCUAUUUAUAUGUGUAUGUAUAAUGAGUGUUAAAUGUAUUUGUCUGAUAAAUUGGUACGUUUAUGAUAAGAAAGAUUUUCGACGGUUACAUUAGUUUAUGAUAAUAACUUGGUAGGUGUGGGAAAGGUUUCGAGUGCCGGUUUACUCCGGGUGGGAAUUCGGAUAUUUCAAAAAUUUACAUGGGCGGGCGCGGCCCUUGUAGACAAGACAAACAGUCAUAAUUUUAAUCAUUUCUUUUAAAUUACCAUUACAUGUUGCAUUUUGCACAUUUUCCUGGGUAUUUUGUAUUUAUAAAUAUGUAAAAUGUUUAAAAUGUAAGCAUUUCGUUCAUUAUAUAAUCUUAAAUUCCUUAUUUGUUAGCAAAGUGAUGCAUCUGUUUGAUAUUGUUUUAAAUAAUGUGGGUGUAUUUUCUGUUUCGCAUGGUUCAACCUCCCUUUUCUUAACUGCAGUACAUUAACACUUGGCUUGUAUAUAUAUAUACAAGUCACUCGCUUCGCACAAUUUAUCUUUUUUUGCCACAUUUAAUCCACUUCAUUUGAUCCUAACUCAAGAUUCUUUCCAUGAACACUGCAUUCACCAUCGUGUUGGCAUUUAUACUCUACAUAAACUUGACAUUUGCAACAAAAGGAAGAAUUGGUGCAAAGAAGCUUUUGAAAUAUUACGAAGACAGGAUGUCAAGAAUAAAGCAAAAGCGACAACCUCAGUAUAUCAGUCUUUGCGAUACAGAAAAAAACACUGUUUUAACGAGCAGCCUAGAUCCCAACCCUUGUUCAAAUUGCGCGUACUAUCCAUCACAGCUCAAUCAAGUCAAAUGUGCGACAAGCAAAUCCCUUAAUGCCAGAGAUCGUGUAAGCUGUUCACAAAACAUUCCUGGUGAUUGUUUAAAUGUUACUGCUACAAUGAAAGUGACAAAGGUUUUUCCUGGUCCCAUCCGUGUCGAUCUAAGCAUUAAUCUCAAAGUCGGCUGUUGUUGUUUUUACUUAAACAUAGAUUAAAGCGUGAUCGUGCUUGGAGAUGCACUGUAUUUUAGAAAUCACUGCACAACUAUUUAUUCACAUAAUAAUAAAUUUUGCUUGGAAAACCAGUAUGGCUGUUAAAAAGUCAGUUCUGCUUAUUUUUAAAAUGUUGACAUUCGUUUUUGUUCUGGUUGUUCUGUAUUACUUUUUGAUAUACCAAUUUUAAUGCAAAUUUUUAGUAUUUUCUCUGACGCAUUUAAAUAAAUUUUUUCCUGUAAUUAAAUAUAGACAUAUAAGUAUGAACUUAUAAUGGUAUAAAACUAAUUAGAUUUGGAAUAGGUUUUUUCAAGAUCAGUAAAAAGUGAAAAAUAAUCUUACAGUA